CCUACGGGAGGCAGCAGUGGGGAAUAUUGCGCAAUGGGCGAAAGCCUGACGCAGCGACGCCGCGUGAGGGAUGAAGGUCUUCGGAUCGUAAACCUCUGUCAGCAGGGAAGAACGGUCACUGUGCUAAUCAGCAGUGAAUUGACGGUACCUGCAAAGGAAGCACCGGCUAACUCCGUGCCAGCAGCCGCGGUAAUACGGAGGGUGCGAUCGUUAAUCGGAAUUACUGGGCGGAAAGCGCUCGUAGGCGGUAUGGCAAGUCAAGGGUGAAAUCCCCGCGCUCCACGAGGGAACUGCCUUUGAAACUGGCAAACUGGAGUGAGUGAGAGGAUAGUGGAAUUCCAGGUGUAGGAGUGAAAUGCGUAGAUAUCAAGAGGAACACCAGUGGCGAAGGCGGCUCACUGGACUGUAACUGACGUUGAGGCACGAAAGCGUGGGGAGCAAACAGGAUUAGAUACCCGUGUAGUC
rnacentral:rRNA from 1 species